rnacentral:rRNA from 1 species
UACGUAGGGCGCAAGCGUUAUCCGGAAUUAUUGGGCGUAAAGAGCUCGUAGGCGGUUUGUCGCGUCUGCCGUGAAAGUCCGGGGCUCAACUCCGGAUCUGCGGUGGGUACGGGCAGACUAGAGUGAUGUAGGGGAGACUGGAAUUCCUGGUGUAGCGGUGAAAUGCGCAGAUACUCAGGAGGAACACCGAUGGCGAAGGC